UUCCUGGUGGUCCAGUGGCUAAGACUCCACUCCCAAUGUAGGGUGCCCAGGUUCAAUCCCUGGUCAGGGAA
rnacentral:tRNA from 1 species